GAGGACACCGAGAAGCUCUUUUAAUUUCCUGCUUUUGCUCUUGCUUUGCUCCGGAUUACGUUCUAUGCAGGGCUCGAGAAGGAUAGUUACUCAA